GAUGAACGCUGGCGGCGUGCCUAAUACAUGCAAGUCGAGCGAAUGGAUUAAGAGCUUGCUCUUAUGAAGUUAGCGGCGGACGGGUGAGUAACACGUGGGUAACCUGCCCAUAAGACUGGGAUAACUCCGGGAAACCGGGGCUAAUACCGGAUAACAUUUUGAACCGCAUGGUUCGAAAUUGAAAGGCGGCUUAGGCUGUCACUUAUGGAUGGACCCGCGUCGCAUUAGCUAGUUGGUGAGGUAACGGCUCACCAAGGCAACGAUGCGUAGCCGACCUGAGAGGGUGAUCGGCCACACUGGGACUGAGACACGGCCCAGACUCCUACGGGAGGCAGCAGUAGGGAAUCUUCCGCAAUGGACGAAAGUCUGACGGAGCAACGCCGCGUGAGUGAUGAAGGCUUUCGGGUCGUAAAACUCUGUUGUUAGGGAAGAACAAGUGCUAGUUGAAUAAGCUGGCACCUUGACGGUACCUAACCAGAAAGCCACGGCUAACUACGUGCCAGCCGCCGCCGUGA
rnacentral:rRNA from 1 species